rnacentral:rRNA from 1 species
UCCGUAGGUGAACCUGCGGAGGGAUCAUUACAAGUAACCCCGGUCUAACCACCGGGAUGUUCAUAACCCUUUGUUGUCCGACUCUGUUGCCUCCGGGGCGACCCUGCCUUCGGGCGGGGGCUCCGGGUGGACACUUCAAACUCUUGCGUAACUUUGCAGUCUGAGUAAACUUAAUUAAUAAAUUAAAACUUUUAACAACGGAUCUCUUGGUUCUGGCAUCGAUGAAGAACGCAGCGAAAUGCGAUAAAUAAUGUGAAUUGCAGAAUCCAGUGAAUCAUCGGAUCUUUGAACGCACAUUGCGCCCCCUGGUAUUCCGGGGGGCAUGCCUGUUCGAGCGUCAUUUCACCACUCAAGCCUCGCUUGGUAUUGGGCAACGCGGUCCGCCGCGUGCCUCAAAUCGACCGGCUGGGUCUCCUGUCCCCUAAGCGUUGUGGAAACUAUUCGCUAAAGGGUGCUCGGGAGGCUACGCCGUAAAACAAACCCAUUUCUAAGGUUGACCUCGGAUCAGGUAGGGAUACCCGCUGAACUUAAGCAUAUCAAUAAGCGGAGGAAAAGAAACCAACAGGGAUUGCCCCAGUAACG